UACAGAGGGUGCAAGCGUUGUUCGGAAUUACUGGGCGUAAAGGGCUCGUAGGCGGCCAACUAAGUCACACGUGAAAUCCCCAGGCUAAACCUGGGAACUGCGUGUGAUACUGGAUGGCUUGAAUUCGGGAGAGGGAUGCAGAAUUCCAGGUGUAGCGGUGAAAUGCGUAGAUAUCUGGAGGAAUACCGGUGGCGAAGGCGGCAUCCUGGACCGACAUUGACGCUGAUGAGCGAAAGCUAGGGGAGCAAACGGG
rnacentral:rRNA from 1 species